GGUGAACGCUGGCGGUAGGCCUAACACAUGCAAGUCGAACGGCAGCACAGUAAGAGCUUGCUCUUACGGGUGGCGAGUGGCGGACGGGUGAGGAAUACAUCGGAAUCUACUUUUUCGUGGGGGAUAACGUAGGGAAACUUACGCUAAUACCGCAUACGACCUACGGGUGAAAGCAGGGGAUCUUCGGACCUUGCGCGAUUGAAUGAGCCGAUGUCGGAUUAGCUAGUUGGCGGGGUAAAGGCCCACCAAGGCGACGAUCCGUAGCUGGUCUGAGAGGAUGAUCAGCCACACUGGAACUGAGACACGGUCCAGACUCCUACGGGAGGCAGCAGUGGGGAAUAUUGGACAAUGGGCGCAAGCCUGAUCCAGCCAUACCGCGUGGGUGAAGAAGGCCUUCGGGUUGUAAAGCCCUUUUGUUGGGAAAGAAAAGCAGCAGGUUAAUACCCCGCUGUUCUGACGGUACCCAAAGAAUAGGCACCGGCUAACUUCG
rnacentral:rRNA from 1 species